rnacentral:lncRNA from 1 species
UAUACAUCCAGAGGCACAUCCGCUUUGAAGCUAUCAUAAAGCAUGGCAGGCAGAGUAAAGAAUACGAUAUCUUUCGUGAAAAGCAUAUAUAAAGAUGACUUUAGAUGGUCAAUAGUGAAGAGUGCAGUUGUAUUUGUGGGUGGAAUUUUACUAAUCCAGACCAUUGCUAAUUUGGAACCAGAGCCAUUACCAGCAGCUCCCCAAGCUUAGACCAGGCAAGGAUAUUUAUGCAAUGGAAAUAUCACAGUUAAAAGGAAAUUGAAGCCUCAGGGAUACAACUGGCAUGACAAAAAUAUAAAUGAUAAAAGACUCGAGACAUUUUGCAGUGGUUUUGAGACACUGAACCCAGAGAUGCAGGUUUCGAGUGCUGUGAUUGGAAAGAGACAGCUAUCUGAAUACUAAAUUUGGAUAAAACCGGCACUUGGACUUUGGAAUAGACUUGAGAUGUGUUGGGGAAAAAACAAUUUUUAUGUGAAAAAUUACACAAACAAUAUGUAUACUUUUGUGUGGUGUAACAUGUUUAUAUACGAAUAAAGGUAUGUUCUAAAUCUGAAAGGAACUGCUUAUUUUGA